GUUAACGCCAGCAAGAGAUAACGACAACGAGCCACAGAACAAACGUACAAUAUUCAUGUAAUUGUGGUUAUUUUCAUUGUUUUUUUAAAUAUUUUUAUGUCUAUAUUUGUUGUCUUU
rnacentral:ribozyme from 1 species